rnacentral:tRNA from 1 species
GUGGAUGUAGUGCAGUGGUGAGUGCUUGCCUAGCAUGCAUGAGGCCCUGGGUUUGAUACCCAGCACCACA